rnacentral:rRNA from 1 species
AGAGGCCUACCAUGGUGGUAACGGGUAACGGGGUGUUAGGGCACGACACCGGAGAGGGAGCCUGAGAAACGGCUACCACAUCCAAGGAUGGCAGCAGGCGCGCAAAUUACCCAAUCCCGACACGGGGAGGUAGUGACAAUAAAUAGCAAUACGGGGUUCUUUCGGAUUUCGUAAUUGGAAUGAGUACAAUUUAAAUCUCUUAACGAGGAACAAUUGGAGGGCAAGUCUGGUGCCAGCAGCCGCGGUAAUUCCAGCUCCAAUAGCGUAUAUUAAAGUUGCUGCAGUUAAAAAGCUCGUAGUUGAAUUUCGGGAUCAAUAUGUCGGUCGUGCCUCGGUACGUACUGGCAUCGUUGGUUUCUCCCUUCUGACGAACCAUGAUGUCAUUCAUUUGGUGUCGUGGGGAAUCAGGACUGUUACUUUGAAAAAAUUAGAGUGUUUAAAGCAGGCUCCCGCUUGAAUACAUUAGCAUGGAAUAAUGAAAUAGGACGUUUGAUUCUAUUUUGUUGGUUUCUAGGAUCGACGUAAUGAUUAAUAGGGAUAGUUGGGGGCAUUAGUAUUCAAUUGUCAGAGGUGAAAUUCUUGGAUUUAUUGAAGACUAACUACUGCGAAAGCAUUUGCCAAGGAUGUUUUCAUUAAUCAAGAACGAAAGUUAGGGGAUCGAAGACGAUCAGAUACCGUCGUAGUCUUAACCAUAAACUAUGUCGACUAGGGAUCGGAUGAUGUUAAUUUUUUAAUGACUCAUUCGGCGCCUUACGGGAAACCA